GGAAAUAUUUCUCAAGCGAAGGAGACUAGAAAUAACAAAAGAAAAAAAACUCCGAUUUCGUUAGAGGUUAAUUCGACUUCAAAUACAACAGAAUUGGUUGAUAGCAAUAUUUCAACCGAGACUGUCCAGAACAAUGCAAGGAGCUCAACUAAAAA